GAUGAACGCUGGCGGCGUGCCUAAUACAUGCAAGUCGAGCGAACGGACGAGAAGCUUGCUUCUCUGAUGUUAGCGGCGGACGGGUGAGUAACACGUGGAUAACCUACCUAUAAGACUGGGAUAACUUCGGGAAACCGGCGCUAAUACCGGAUAAUAUUUUGAACCGCAUGGUUCAAAAGUGAAAGACGGUCUUUCUGGCACUUAUAGCUGGAUCCGCGCUGCAUUAGCUAGUUGGUAAGGUACCGGCUUACCAAGGCAACGAUGCCUAGCCGACCUGAGAGGGUGAGCGGCCACACUGGAACUGAGACACGGUCCAGACUCCUACGGGAGGCAGCAGUAGGGAAUCUUCCGCAAUGGGCGAAAGCCUGACGGAGCAACGCCGCGUGAGUGAUGAAGGUCUUCGGAUCGUAAAACUCUGUUAUUAGGGAAGAACAUAUGUGUAAGUAACUGUGCACAUCUUGACGGUACCUAAUCAGAAAGCCACGGCUAACUACGUG
rnacentral:rRNA from 1 species